GGACAAUAUACAAGGUGCUGCAUGGUUGUCGUCAGCUCGUGCCGUGAGAUGUCGGGUUAAGUCCCAUAACGAGCGCAACCCCUAUCAUUAGUUGCCAUCAGGUAAUGCUGGGGACUCUAAGGAUACUGCCCCGGUUAACGGGGAGGAAGGUGGGGAUGACGUCAAGUCAGUAUGUCCCUUACGUCCAGGGCUACACACGUGUUACAAUGGCCGGUACAAUGAGUUGCGACCCUGCAAAGGUAAGCCAAUCUCAAAAAACCGGUCUCAGUUCGGAUUGCAGUCUGCAACUCGACUGCAUGAAGUUGGAAUCGCUAGUAAUCGUAGAUCAGCACGCUACGGUGAAUACGUUCCCGGGCCUU
rnacentral:rRNA from 1 species